CUGAGGCUACUCGCAGAGGAAGAAAAAAAGCUUCGUCGAUGGCGUCGCACAGGGUGGUUCAAAGGAUCGUCGCCGGCGGCGGCGGCGGCGGCUGCGGCGGCGGCUCAAUGCUGGGGCUCAGCCGCGGGUUCCACGCCUUGGCCCGACCCGCGCCCUCGAACGACCUCGUGGCGCCCGCCGUCGCGUCUCCGCCGCCGGUCUUGCCCGAGCACGGUCGGUUGCCGGAGGACGGCCGCGUCGGGAUCGAUUUCCCGAGCUUCGGCGUGGGAGGGCCCAUGGAGCUCAUGGCCGUCCCGAAGAAGAAGGUUUCCCGCCACAAGAAAGGUAUAAGGAAUGGACCCAAGGCUCUGAAACCUGUUCCAGUGAUAAUUCGGUGCACGGUAUGUGGUCGUGUCAAGCUGCCUCAUUUUAUUGCUGCAGUGGGGAUAGAGGAAGGGAAGAUGGGCAGAACUCGUGAACCAUCUUGCCAGGUGUACUAUGUUAAUUACCUUUAGCGGUAUACUCACAAAGCAAGAUGUUGCCUGAUGUUCUUUAGAUGAUUUUUCACUUUGUUUAAGAGCCUGUAGUACAAGCGUUUCUUUUUGGCUGGAGUAGUGCAAGUUGUAGUCCGCUUGAUGCUUUUUUAAUUCAUGUUACCGAAUUAUUUAGGCAACAUCAAUGGUGAGUGGAGUUUUUUCUUUGGCCAAAUGCGUUGACUAGGUUGGAUUGGCCA